AACAUAUUAGCUCAAUUGGAAGAGCGUUGUGUUAUGCACAAGAUGUGGGUUCAAUUCCCACAUAGGUUU
rnacentral:tRNA from 1 species